AUAUACGCGUCGUUGCUCAAACAAAAAAAAAAAAAUAUACGUGUCAAACUUCUAUUGGUUCGAUAUCACACGUGCGGGCAAGAGUCUCUCACAUGACCUUCCUUCGAUCUAUUGUAUAUUCAUCACUUUCUAUCACACCGGAAACUUAGCCGGCGAACUAAUCAAUUCAACCUCGAGAUCCAUCACCUCCUCCACACCUUCCUUCAGGUAUGCGUGUAUGAUACUUUAGAACCCCUAGAUUAGCAAUGUCGCAGCUUCGAUGCUCGGACCCUUUUGAAUCGAUCUUUUCUUUGAUUGCGUAAUAGAAGAUCAUUUUGAUUGCUGGGUUGUUAAAAACAAGAACCAAAUUCAAAUAAAGCUUUCUUCUUUGAGCAUUUGAGCUUAGCAAUUAGUUAAAUUAAACCUCUAUUGUGUUAAAUGGCAGAGAUGUAUAACAACAACAACAUGACUCAGGCAGUUCCACAGCCUAACCCUUUUGGCAAUCCCUUCUCUGGCCCUGGCUCUGGCCUUAUCCGAAGUGGCUUGGGUGCCUAUGGGGAGAAAAUAUUCGGAUCCAGCUCUGAGUAU
rnacentral:lncRNA from 1 species